rnacentral:rRNA from 1 species
GACGGGUGAGUAACACGUGGGCAACCUACCCUAUAGUUUGGGAUAACUCCGGGAAACCGGGGCUAAUACCGAAUAAUCUAUUGUCCCUCAUGGGACAAUACUGAAAGACGGUUUCGGCUGUCCCUAUAGGAUGGGCCCGCGGCGCAUUAACUAGUUGGUGAGGUAACGGCUCACCAAGGCGACGAUGCGUAACCGACCUGAGAGGGUGAUCCGCCACACUGGGACUGAAACACGGCCCAAACUCCUACGGGAGGCAGCAGUAGGGAAUCUUCCACAAUGGGCGAAAGCCUGAUGGAACAACGCCCCGUGAGUGAAGAAGGAUUUCCGUUCCUAAAACUCUGUUGUAAGGGAAAAACAAGUACAGUAAUAACUGGCUGUACCUUGACGGUACCUUAAUAAAAAGCCACGGCUAACCACGUGCCAGCAGCCCCGGUAAUACCUUAGUGGCAAGCGUUGUCCCGAAUUAUUGGGCGUAAAGCGGGCGCAGGUGGUUUCUU